UUUUAUACUCCUGUGGGAGGUUAGUUGAUGUGCUGUAACAACAAAAAGAUUAUUGUUUUUUUGUGCUUUUAUAUUUACUACAGUUCUCUGCACCAACCCGCCAACGCCUUAAGACUUCAACCCCCAAUUACGACUUCAAGCCCCCUAAAGGGCUAAAAACGAUAGUAUGGGGUAUUUAUGCCUGGAAGAAUAUUGUAAUAGGAGUUCAAGCACCCCUAUAGUGGAUCAUACCAUUCCAUGUUAAUAAGCAUUCCUCUCGUUUACCUGCCUGGCUCAUUAUUGGUCAGGUGACUUGCGUCUAAGUUAAGGUGCACAAGCUGCCCAAGCUACAGCAUUACGUACUUACACACGCAGUGGCCCCUGUCCCUGUCCGUCCAGGACGAGUACGGAGAUCCAGUCAGUGCAUGAAGAGGUGGAAGGCAAUUGGCGUUCUCGGCAUCAUUUUCUGAUGAGAAGGACUUGAGUAAACAUGGCUCACUCUCUAAGCAGAGAAGGGAACUUGCAUGUUGGUGACGGCCUCGCGACACGCCCUUCACUGGCCCUUCAGCGCGCGCCAGGGCCUGCGUCCUUCCCGAUUGCUGUCGGGCCCUGAGCGCGCGCCGGGACUCUCUCAGUCCGAGCGGUGAUCCCUCUUCUUUCUGGACGUCCUGGGUGGUCGGGUGCCAAAAAGGGAACACACAUACAUGCCAAGUAGUGAGCGGGGACAAAAGAGGGAAAUGUAACCCUGCGUCAGAGACCCGUUGGAAGCAUUUGUUCCAGUCAAGAUUUUGCAUUUGUUCAGCGCAGAAAAUAAUGCUUGAUUGACGCUUGCGCACAAUGUCCUUUAACUUUCUGGGAUAAAUCCGUGCUUGUUCCUUGUUGUCAUGGUUUUCAAUGGGGGCGAAUGAGAUCUGGGCCACUAUGUACUGCUCCGCGUCUACUGGCCAACAAAGUCUAUCCUGAAUUAUUAGUUAUGUGCUUAAGAGCAUACUUAAAAAGCUUUUAAUCCAAGCCAAUUAAAAAUUUUAUUUGAGUUACAUUUAAACAACCAGGAUCUCAUAAUCAGUGACACAGCCCUUCACAGCAAAAAUAAAAUGAUAAUUUACACUCACAUUCUUAGCAUCGUUAGCACUGUUAUGUAAAACAUUAUUCAGGAAUUUUCCAUAUGUUUUUAUUGACCUACAUGUAUCGUCACUGCAUCAGGCACCUCAUAUACUGUCAAUGUAUAGAUUACAGUAGGGCUUGUAGCAACGCGUGUCCAAAAGUUUGUCAAGCUCUCUGCAAGCUCUCUGCAAGUGCAAACGAUAGCUCUUGUGCACGCAAGUUUGUUAUACCAACGACCUCUUGUGUCUUCUUAAUCUAUUAAACACCCACAGCAAGAAGGAGAGCUUACACGCUCUUCUCUCUAGAGUCAAAUAUUUACCCAGGCACUACAAAUAAGACAGAAAGCUGAAAGAAUCUCCUCUUCCUUUUAUACAAUAGGUAAGCCAUUUCAGAUACAUUGAAACAUGAAACCUUUUUUCUUGUUGUGGGACAGAAAAAAUAAUUCACGUUUAUUCACGUAUAAUAAAAAUACUCGGACAAAAUACACCGAAUGAACACAAUAAAAAUGUUUUAUAUAUUAAUAAAAAUAGCAUUAUUUUCUUAUGCUAACUACAAUCUAUAACGAAAAUACGUCGCUAAUAUAUAUUAUGUGAUUUAAAGGGAUUUUUUUUACAUGUGAACGCUUAUAUCUUUGUUUAACGUAGUCGUUGUGUUUCUAUAUUCGUUAUGGUGUAGUUAGCUGAAUGUUUUUGGACAGUUUUAGGUAAUCGCCAUCACAGUAAAUAAAGCGGAGACAUAGCACGGCUAUCUGUAUUUUGGAAAUCCUGCUUUUUCCCAAGGACAGAAGCUUUGUGGCUUAUGUCUUUCCUGUUAUAAUCCUUUGAGUGUAUGUUCUUUUUAUUACAGGCAGUAUGAACCCAUGCUAUUUAUGUUUAUGUUUUUUGUUCUGGUCAGCUUAUUUUUUAUUUGAUACUAUAUAUCAAUUUAUUCCCAAAUAAUAUAUACAUACAUAAUCAAUUUUGUAAUGUUGCCAUCCGUUUUCAAAACAUUAAAAAAAAUGAC